GGACCCGCACAAGUAGUGGAGCAUGUGGUUUAAUUCGAAGAUACGCGCAGAACCUUACCAACACUUGACAUGUUCGUCGCGACUUUAAGAGAUUAAAGUUUUCGGUUCGGCCGGACGAAACACAGGUGCUGCAUGGCUGUCGUCAGCUCGUGUCGUGAGAUGUUGGGUUAAGUCCCGCAACGAGCGCAACCCUCACUUUUAGUUGCCAUCAUUAAGUUGGGCACUCUGAAAGAACUGCCAGUGAUAAGCUGGAGGAAGGUGGGGAUGACGUCAAGUCCUCAUGGCCCUUACGUGUUGGGCUACACACGUGCUACAAUGGCAAGUACAACGAGUCGCAAUACCGCGAGGUGGAGCAAAUCUCUUAAAGCUUGUCUCAGUUCGGAUAGGAGUCUGCAACUCGACUCCUUGAAGUUGGAGUC
rnacentral:rRNA from 1 species